rnacentral:lncRNA from 1 species
CGCCCUCCUCACCAACGGUCCCACUGGUCUUCACCAACCGCAGAGCUGAGGCCAGUGCAGACUCCUCUGCCUCCUACCGCCCAGGGCAAGCUUAGGAGGGUCCUAAACCUGCCUAAAUUGCCAGGGCAACUGUGAGGCAAUGCACAGAAGCUCACUCGGCCACAGGGUGACACAGUGGACCCACGCAGAGCCAAGGAAGCUGCACAGGGACAGGGGCUGAUGACAUUGAAAGUUCAUAUGGAUCAGGUGAUUUCACUGUGAAAGGCUUCCUCCACAGACUGAGCAUCAUCAAUGGCUGGGCAAAAUUCCACUGGGCUCUUCUAGACUUUUUCCAAGGACUAUUUCUGGAAACAAACUUCAACAUUCCCAGGUUUCAAGCUUUGAGUAUUUCUGCAUUGACAGUUGCAACCGAUUAAUUCCAUUGGAUGGUUUCUUGUUCUGAAGUUAAAAUUUCAAAGUAUCUGAUCCUGGCUUAAUGUCACUCAAGAACUUACAAAGGCAAAGUUAAGACCUGCCCUUCUAACAAACUGCUUAUUUAGGCUUUUGUGAAAUAUACUUUUAUUUAAUUCCAACGGAGCAAGCAUUUUCUGUUUACCUGACCCUAUUCCUUGAAUGGUCUCAUUUCUCUUAACCAGAAUCCUGUGAAGCAAAUAGUCCUGUUCUUACCACCUGUCAGAUAAGGAGUUAUGAGGAUCUCAGUUAAGUAACUUACCCAGUGUUGCACAGCUAGGGAGUAGCAAAGACAGGAUUGAAAGUCGGGUUCUCUGCUGCUGACUGUGCAUUCUUACACAAUAUAACCAGCUCUUAGUUCUUUUCCUACCUAGCAAUACUGUGACUAUGUGUGUGUUCCUUUUGUGUUGGCUAUUUUUAUGUCAACUUGACAUAAGCUAGAGUAAUUCGGAAGAUGGAACUUCAUUUGAGAAAAUACUUCCCAACAGAUUGUCCUGUGGGCAAGUCUAUUGUACAUUUGGUGCAUUUUCUUGAUUGAUAAUUGAUAUUGGAGGGCUUAGUGUAAAGGUUUCUCCAAAGCAAGGUCAUCUUGGCUAUUGCGAGCUAAGGAAUACCACAAGGUCACACCACCAGUUAACAAAGCACACAUAAGAAUUUCACUGGGGAGAACAGAAUGGCUGCAGUCUCUGUACGAGGAGAGACAGCAGAGGGCUGGACUGAAUGGAAGACUUUUAUAGGGUUUGUGGAGCACGCCAAGUGAGCCAAUAGGAAACAUUGGCCACUACAGGAUCAGGGAUUUCCAAGUCUCAGAGCUUUGGGUCAAACUAGAGGCAGAGUGUUUUCGCUUUGGCCUCUGUCUGGGGCUUGGGGUCAAGUCGGGGAUGAGGUGGUGGUCUCUUGGCCCAUGUGCUUAAGGUCAACUCAGGGUCAGAAUAUUCUUUCCUUGCCCUAGUCUCAGGGUCAAGUCAGGGUCAGGGGGGUCUUUCCUGGCCCAUUUACUCUACAUUCCUCUCUGUUUUGUUUAGGAGAGGGGUGAUGAUAUCACUAUGCAACUUCCUGCUGUCUGGGGCAUUGAAGUCCUUGAGACAAGCUUGAUCUUCAUAUCAGGGGUUGUAGGCCUCUGCUACUGUAGUUAGGGGCUGAUAAUCCUGUAAUAACAACUGAUUAAUAAAUAUCUAGUUAGAAAUCUUUUGGAUCUUCUC